UCCGUUGGUGAACCAGCGGAGGGAUCAUUACCGAGUGUAAAAACUCCCAAACCAUUGUGAACCUACCACUGUUGCUUCGGCGGCCUCGCCCCGGGCGCGUUCGCGCGGCCCGGACCCAGGCGUCCGCCGGAGGCUCCAAACUCUUGUCUUUUAGUGUAUUUCUGAGUGGCAUAAGCAAAUAAAUCAAAACUUUCAGCAACGGAUCUCUUGGCUCCAGCAUCGAUGAAGAACGCAGCGAAACGCGAUAUGUAAUGUGAAUUGCAGAAUUCAGUGAAUCAUCGAAUCUUUGAACGCACAUGGCGCCCUCCAGUAUCCUGGGAGGCAUGCCUGUCCGAGCGUCGUUUCAACCCUCGAGCCCCCGUGGCCCGGCGUUGGGGACCUGCCCAGGCAGUCCCCGAAAACCAGUGGCGGACCCGACGGGCCCUUCCUUUGCGUAGUAACAUCUGCCUCGCAUCGGGAGCCCCCGGGCUAUCCGGCCUCUAAACCCCCCUCAAGCCCGCUCCGGCGGCACCAAGGUUGACCUCGGAUCAGGUAGGAAUACCCGCWGAACUUAAGCAUAUCAAUAAGCGGAGGA
rnacentral:rRNA from 1 species